GACGUAGGGCGCGAGCGUUGUCCGGAUUUAUUGGGCGUAAAGAGCUCGUAGGCGGCUUGUUGCGUCGGCUGUGAAAACCCAUGGCUCAACCGUGGGCUUGCAGCCGAUACGGGCAGGCUAGAGUUCGGUAGGGGGAGACUGGAAUUCCUGGUGUAGCGGUGAAAUGCGCAGAUAUCAGGAGGAACACCGGUGGCGAGGGCGGUCAUCCUGGACCGGCAUUGACGCUGAGGCGCGAAAGCCAGGGGAGGCAAACGGG
rnacentral:rRNA from 1 species